rnacentral:tRNA from 1 species
AGUUAGUUGGGGAAGUAGCUCAUAUCUCAACUCAUGCUAUGGAGGGUAUCUCAACUUACAACACUAUGCGAGUUAAGGGUACAAGUCAGAAGAGAUCCAUUUUUAUGUUGGUUG